UACGGGGGGGGCAAGCGUUGUUCGGAAUUACUGGGCGUAAAGGGCUCGUAGGCGGCCAACUAAGUCAGACGUGAAAUCCCUCGGCUUAACCGGGGAACUGCGUCUGAUACUGGAUGGCUUGAGGUUGGGAGAGGGAUGCGGAAUUCCAAGGUGUAGCGGUGAAAUGCGUAGAUAUCUGGAGGAACACCGGUGGCGAAGGCGGCAUCCUGGACCAAUUCUGACGCUGAGGAGCGAAAGCCAGGGGAGCAAACGGG
rnacentral:rRNA from 1 species